ensembl:ncRNA Y79H2A.14 ncRNA
GUUGAAGGUGAUGUUUUUGUCAAAAUAUAAGGGUAACCUUCAACAAUUUUCUUUCAUGUGAAAAAUGAA